AGAGCAAGGAAUAGAAUAAAUACCUCAUUGUGUGUCCACAGUAAUACAAAAUUAAGGUACCACUCUUUAAUUAUGCUACCGAGUUGAAUGACUUCUUACUUAGAGUGCUCAUUGCAGAAUAUAACGGAGUCAUUGUUUAUAAAUUACAAUGAAAUAUAAAUGUGGUUAUAAUGAAUUUGUUAAUUAAAUUAUUUUAAUUUAUCUUUUCACAUAAAUGUAACUCUUGAAAUUCUGGGCAUAUUUAUGUCCCCAAAUAACUGAAUGAAGUUUCUCAACACAGGAAUCUAAUGAAAACUAAGAAGUUUGGAAGAUAAUUGUAUUAAGGUAUGUAAAUUCUCAUAAUUUUUGAAACUGAACACUGCCAGCCAAGUAUCUUUUUUUACCCCCCAAAUCCCUGAGAUUCUUAUUAAAAAUACAGAUUUCUGAACCUCACCUUGGACCACCAAAUCAGAAGUCUUAGAGCAAAGCCCAGGGAUCUACAUUUUAAAACUCCAUUACCACCUUCCCUUUCGCCACCAGGUGAUUUAGGAACUGAGUCCUAUGAAGUUUGGAAAAACAAAACCCUGCACAUUUUAUUCUUCAUCAUCAUGGUUGCACAAGCAAGAUGCAUGGCAUCUGAUUUAUAAGAGCAUAUCCAAGUUGGGAUUUUUUUCCUCACAUAUCAAGAAGUCUGCAUAUAGGUGACUACUGGCUUUGCUUCAACAAUGCUCCAAUGCCAGGACCAGGGUUUCUGCAGAUCCUCUUGACGUCCUCCUCAUAAUUGUUACCUUACACCAGGAAAUACUACUGCUCAGCUCACAUUGAAAGCCCCUGAUAUCACUCAGAGGGUGCAGCCUUGGGCAUGGACAGUUUCCAGGGAUUACAGUAGUAUUAGCAUGAUUUUUUUUUUUUUUUGGUUACUUUCUCUGAUCUUUCUAUUUAGCUGUCUACUUCUGAUGGUAUCACCUAUAGCUGUUAGGCUGCACUAAUAGCUGACUAAUUGCUGUAUUUUCAACAAUGCCCUAGGGCACACAUUUCUCUGAGGUCUGAUAGCAUUUACAGGCACAUUUUUUUAGUUUUGCUCUGACCCCUUGGAGGCAUUUAAAAAUCUGUCUCUUUCUUUAGUUCUUUCUGGUAAAAUAGCUGGCCUUCAGUUUAGCUUGCUGUUCUCAUGGAGCUACCAGCUUCCUUUUAAUAACUUUCUACAAAAUUCUUCAUUGUUUUUUAACAGUAACCUUAGACUUGAAGAGCCCUACACUCAAUUUUAAAUGAAGUCAGUUUCCUUGAUAAAAGCUACAGAGCUCUGUUCUUGUGACCAGAGCAAAAUCUCUGAGCUGCUGCUCUUGAGCUGGGGGUGGGAUGGUGGUCCCCUUCUUUUUUUUUUUAAUUUAUGAAGAACAGAAAUUUAUUUCUCAUAGUUCCAGAGGCUGGAAAGUCCAAGAUCAAGGGGCUGGCAAGUGUGGUGUCUGAUAAGGGCCCAGUUUCUUCCUAGAUGGUGACUUGUUGCUUUGUCCCCUGGAGGAGAUAAAUGCUAUGUCCUCACAAGACAGAAAGGAGAGAAAGGGCUAAGCCAACCCCUCCAGUACUUUCGCCACUGCACUUCAGCCUGUGCAACAAGAGCAAAACUCCAUCUAAAAAAAAAAUUAAAAAUUAAAAAAAAUAAAAUAAAAGGACUGGUGGUCCACUUCUUUCAGAGUGACACUGCUGAUUGAUGAGGAGUAGCUGGGUGAAGGCAGCAGACACAGGUCAUUCCAGCUUGUCUCUCACAGCUUGGAACCUCUGUGUUAUGAGGAUCCCAGGAUGAAGAUGAUUAGGACCCAGUAUUCUUGGGAGCCCUGACUAGAAUAGAGGCUCUGCCCUAUGAGUGGGGCCAGAUGGAGGAAGAAAGCCCUAACACUUGGGUUCACUCACCUGCCUAAAUUUAGCCUUUACGAAAUGGAGCUGGGGGACAGUAAGAAAUCCUGGCAGCCUGAUCCUCCUGGGGAAGAUAACAUUGUCCUAGACUUGGUCCUGUGGCCACACCCAUCCCAUCUGGACUGGAGUAUUUUGUUGCAAGUUGGCUAGGGAGGGAGGGGGCAGGCAGGUCCUGGUCAAGUGUCAGAGACUGUGCUCUAAACAAAGUGGAGUAAAUUUUCUUGGAAAAAAAAAAGUUUCUGUAUUUUCUGUAUGCCCUUAGCACAAUUUGCAAAGACUUUAAUUUUUUAAAAAUUAAUAUUUUCAUCAGUUAUUGUUGUCUUGCUAGGCUGUAGGUCUGUGGAACUUCUCACAUUGCCUUUCUAGAAGCUAUGUCUUUCCUUGAUUUUUAACAUUGUUGACUCCAUUAGAGACUCAACACAUCUAUGUGUGAUAUUAGUUGCAAGUAUUUUUUUGCCAGUUUGUCA
rnacentral:lncRNA from 1 species